UACAUUCCUCGUUCGGGCUCCGACAGCAACAGUCACUGCUGGCUCUUCAUCUGGGCUAGACUCCCUCAUCGAACAUGGUUUCCUCGCAAAACCAGAACGAGCAUAAUGAAGGAACAAGAAUGGAAGCUAGGGGUCAGAAGACUCCGGUAACACCCAGACAGGUUGUGAUUUUGGUUGCGGUGAGCGGUACGGGCCUCGUCAACGGCAUGAUGUUUGGCUGGAGCGCGGUCUUGCCCAAGCUCCAGGAGGACACCAGCAGGUUCACGGUGACCGAGGACGACGUGUCAUGG